AAGUAAAAGUCGUAACAAGGUUUCCGUAGGUGAACCUGCGGAAGGAUUAUUAAUAAAUGGUCUACGUUUUUUAAGUAGACGCUUAAUAAUCCUACCCUUGUGAAUUUGUUUGUUUGAAAUAAUUUUUUUUAAAAUUAUUGAAUGUCUUUCCCUGUUGAAUUGGUUGUCUUUAAUGGCAAGUGAUUCGCAGGGGAAUGUCAAUAAUUUUUAAAAAGACCUUUUUUAAAAUUAAACUUUUUGUAUUCAUUUGUCUAAAAAUUAUUUUUAUAAUAUAAAAACAACUUUUGACAAUGGAUCUCUUGGUUCUCGCAACGAUGAAGAACGCAGCAAAAUGCGAUAAGUAGUGUGAAUUGCAGAAUACGUGAAUCAUCGAAUCUUCGAACGCAUAUUGCACUUUUUUAGUUUACUAAAAAAGUAUGUCUGUUUGAGUAUCAGUAAAAUAUUCUCAUAAAAACUUUUUGUUUUAUGGUUAUGAGUGUUUUACAACGAUACAAGUUGUUUCACUUUAAAUUUUUUUAAAAUUUGAAAUUUUUCUAAUUUUAAUAUAAAAUUGGAUAAAAUUUUCCCGUAAAAAGGAAUAACCUAAACAAUUUUAUAACUAUUAGAAUUUUUUCAAAAUAAAAAGGAAAAUUUAUUAAAAUAACUUGAUCUCAAAUCAGAUAAGAGUACCAGCUGAACUUAAGCAUAUCAAUAAGCGGAGGAAAAGAAACUAACAAGGAUUCCUUAGUAACGGCGAGUGAAGCGGGAAGAGCUCAAAUUUGAAAUCUUCAAGGUUUUACCUUGACGAAUUGUAGUUUAAAGAAGUGUUUUCUGUUGAAGUUUUGGUAAAAGUUCUUUGGAAUAGGACAUCAUAGAGGGUGAGAAUCCCGUAUUUGACCAUUAUUUUCAGCUGUGUGAUACACUUUCAAAGAGUCGGAUUGUUUGGAAUGCAGUCCAAAAUGGGUGGUAAAUUUCAUCUAAAGCUAAAUAUUGGCGAGAGACCGAUAGCGAACAAGUACCGUGAGGAAAGAUGAAAAGAACUUUGAAAAGAGAGUUAAACAGUACGUGAAAUUGUCAAAAGGGAAGCGUUGACACCAGUGUUGUUUUCUCGAAAAUCAAUUAAAAAGAGUUUGAUUUUGUUGUGUAUUGACCUUAACAGCUUGCAUUUCAAUUUUCUUGCUUUUUUUAGUGCACUUUUCGUUUAACAAGUCAACAUCAGUUUCCUUUGUUGUAAAAGGUCAUUGGAAGUGGCUUUCUUUUCGGAGAAAGUGUUUAUAGCCUUUGACUUCUGCAAUC
rnacentral:misc_RNA from 1 species